rnacentral:rRNA from 1 species
AUUGAACGCUGGCGGCAUGCCUUACACAUGCAAGUCGAACGGCAGCACGGGAGCAAUCCUGGUGGCGAGUGGCGAACGGGUGAGUAAUAUAUCGGAACGUGCCCAGUCGUGGGGGAUAACGUAGCGAAAGCUACGCUAAUACCGCAUACGAACUAUGAAUGAAAGCGGGGGAUCGCAAGACCUCGCGCGAUUGGAGCGGCCGAUAUCAGAUUAGGUAGUUGGUGAGGUAAAGGCCAACCAAGCCGACGAUCUGUAGGUGGUCUGAGAGGAAGACCAGCCACACUGGGACUGAGACACGGCCCAGACUCCUACGGGAGGCAGCAGUGGGGAAUUUUGGACAAUGGGCGCAAGCCUGAUCCAGCAAUGCCGCGUGCAGGAUGAAGGCCUUCGGGUUGUAAACUGCUUUUGUACGGAACGAAACGGCGAGCUCUAAUACAGCUUGCUAAUGACGGUACCGUAAGAAUAAGCACCGGCUAACUACGUGCCAGCCGCCGCCGUAA